GGGGGCGGUGGCUUACACCUGUAAUCCCAGCACUCUGGGAGGCCAAGGCAGGCGGAUCACCUGAGGUCAGAAGUUCAAGACUAGCUUGACCAACAUGGUGAAACCCGUAAAACCAGAUACUCUUCGACACUUUCACCCAACAAUUCAACCUCUAGGAGUUUAUCUGAAGAUAUGCCUCCCCACAUAUGAAACAACUAGACUCAAGUUAUUCACUGUGGCAUUAUUUGCUAUAGCACUAGCAAAGAAGGAAGAAGAUUUUAAUAAAAUGAAUGA
rnacentral:lncRNA from 1 species